CUGGAAACAACUCGUGCUCAAGGCAAGACAUCAUUUUUCUCUUCCCUGCAUCCACUUUCCCCUUCCACGAAUCCCAGAGGAACCUGCCAAAUUGGAGGUGUGCGUACUAUGCCCCUACGUGAAGGUCAGAGGACAACUCUCAGGAAUCAGUUCUUUCCUUACAUCGUGUGGGUCCCGGGACUUGAACUCAGGAGGAAAAUUAUGAUAGCAGUCGUUGGAAGGUCUGCUCAGAGAACAGUACAGGAGGAGAAUGAAGGAAACCAUCCUCGACAAAGGAUCUCAGGCCAGAAUUCCUUUCUCAGGAUUCUGCGUCAGUCCUGUUUGGUCUGGAGAUUUGGAGGAAGAAACAGGGCCACUUAGAAUAAGCCAGUGAGGAAGCUUUCCCACUACAUCAGUUAUGUUUUCUUUUUCACACUUGGGGUAGUCUGGGCUGUUCAAGGAAAAGAUGACAGAUUUGAGAAACAAAAAUAAAAUCCUGAACAUGAGAAAUGAUAGGUU